CAAACAUGUCUCUUAGAAAAUAUUAAGAGUCAGGCCUGCCCAGUGAUCACUUUAACGGCCGCGGUACCCUGACCGUGCAAAGGUAGCAUAAUCAUUUGCCUUUUAAUUGGAGGCUAGUAUGAAUGGUCUAACGAGAGUAACACUGUCUCAUAUAUAUUCAAUAGAAAUUAACUUAAAGGUGCAAAGGCCUUUAUCCAUUAAAAAGACGAGAAGACCCUGUUGAGCUUUAAUCUUAAUGAACAUUCCUCCUAUAUUCAUAAAUUUACCUUGUUCACUAAAGAUUUUAAUUGGGGCGAUUAAGGAACAAACACUAGCUUCCUGAAAUAACUCAGAAAUAUUUAUAAAUUAAACCGAUCCAACAAUGUUGAUCAGCAAAAUGAGUUACCACAGGGAUAACAGCAUAAUUCUUCUUGAGAGUCCCUAUCGAAAGAAGAGAUUGUGACCUCGAUGUUGGACUAGGGUAACCAGAAGGUGCAGCCGCUUUCUUGUUUGGUCUGUUCGACCAAUAAUUCCCUACGUGACG
rnacentral:rRNA from 1 species